CGCGAGCCCUUUCUUUUUGCGCCAAGCUGAAAUGCUCCUUGACUCUCUUCUCUUGUCUCAUCCCCUCUUGUCUCCUCGAGGAGCUUACCUACUAGCGGACUCACGAUGGGAGGCCAUGGCUUCCUCCGCGUUGGCAUACUUAUCUUCUUGCGCCAACAUUUCAGCCAAAUCAGCAGGGAAGGGCUUCUCCAAGAAAAAGAAAAAGUGUGGCAGUCGUAAGCUGCUCUUCAUCGCCAACAUUGUGACCAACUGACCCAUGUUGUAGACCUCCAAGGUUGCCAC
rnacentral:lncRNA from 1 species